UGUUCUGUAGCUUAGUUGGUUAAAGCGCCGGACUAGCGAUAACGGAGACUUGGGUUCGAAUCCCACCAAAACAA
rnacentral:tRNA from 1 species